UCCCGUUUAACACGGGCAGUCUCCUAAGAAACAUGUAACUUAGGACGAGGGUUGCGCUCGUUCACGGACCUAACCGAACACCUCAAGGCACGAGCUGACGACGACCAUGCAGCGCUUGUCUUAGAGUUCCUUGCGGCACUCCGCCAUUUCUGGCAGAUUCUCUAGAUGUCAAGCCUGGGUAAGGUUCCCCGUUUGUCAUCGAAUUAAACAACAUGCUCCACCGCUUGUGUGGGUCCCCGUCUAUUCCUUUGAGUUUUAAUCUUGCGACCGUACUCCUCAGGCGGAAUACUUAACGCGUUAGCUACGGCACUGGUGGGAUCGAGCCACCAACACCUAGUAUUCAUAGUUUACGGCGUGGACUAC
rnacentral:misc_RNA from 1 species